rnacentral:sRNA from 1 species
UGCGGUUGAGCUGACGGACAUUUCCUCCCUGUCAGACUGGCCGUGCCCUAGUGCACGGCCAUUUUUUUCAUGCCA